GCCGCCGUAGCGUAGCUUGGUAGCGUACAGGCCUGAAGAGCCUGCGGGGCGGGUUCAAAACACCUCUAGCAGGUGGGAAAAUCCCGCCGGCGGCCCCA
rnacentral:tRNA from 1 species